rnacentral:rRNA from 1 species
GACGAACGCUGGCGGCGUGCUUAACACAUGCAAGUCGAACGGAAAGGCCCUGCUUUUGUGGGGUGCUCGAGUGGCGAACGGGUGAGUAACACGUGAGUAACCUGCCCUUGACUUUGGGAUAACUUCAGGAAACUGGGGCUAAUACCGGAUAGGAGCUCCUGCUGCAUGGUGGGGGUUGGAAAGUUUCGGCGGUUGGGGAUGGACUCGCGGCUUAUCAGCUUGUUGGUGGGGUAGUGGCUUACCAAGGCUUUGACGGGUAGCCGGCCUGAGAGUGUGACCGGCCACAUUGGGACUGAGAUACGGCCCAGACUCCUACGGGAGGCAGCAGUGGGGAAUAUUGCACAAUGGGCGGAAGCCGGAUGCAGCAACGCCGCGUGCGGGAUGACGGCCUUCGGGUUGUAAACCGCUUUCGCCUGUGACGAAGCGUGAGUGACGGUAAUGGGUAAAGAAGCACCGGCUAACUACGUG